CUUCUGCCUAAAAGACAAAUACAGUGAUUGCUCUUUACGGACAACCUAUAAUCAGUAUGAGCAUCUAAGGAUACAAUAAUUUAAAUUGGAUUUCUUUAUUUGAUAAAAUUUAAAUUUUCAAUUAUGUAAAACAUUUAUAGGAAGAAGGGCCUGGCCAACCACUUCUGAAAAAAUUGGCCACUAAAACCCCAUGAAUAGCAGCAAAGCAUUGUCUGAUAUAGCGCCAAAAGAUGAGAAGAUGGUGCAAAAACACACCGGGCAGGGUUUCAUUCUGCUGUGCACAGAUUCACUAGGAGUCAGAAUCCACUCGACGACACCACUACCAACAACAAAAAAAUUUAUAUGAUUUCAAAGAAAUCUACCAAACAAGCACUGAGCACAGGCCCUGACAUAUGGUAGCAAUGCAAUAAAUGUUUGUUACAUGAGUGAAUGGAUGAAAAAGCAAAAGAAUAAAGACUUUGCUCUUCACUUGGGUGACCUGGGACUUCCUCAUGACUCUUUAUCAGAGGAUUUAAGAUGUGAGGAGGUAGAGGUGGUUUGCACAGAGGAUCAUAUCUUCAAAGAUCUCUCAGACAAAGGGAAGCCUUUGGAAGCAGGGCCUGUGCACCCCCUUGUGUCACCUGGAUGGAAUGUGCUGCCAGCGUUACUUCUCUGCCAAAGAACAGACCUUCCCAAGGCUGAGGAGGAGGCAGCCCUUGCAUGGGACACUGUGACGGAAAUCAAAGCACAAGACAGUGUCGUUUGUCUUUAUCUGCUUAGGGAUUUUUCCUUACCUGUGAAGUGAUCUGGGCUUUCGAGUACAUUGUUAGAUAUGAUUCUCUUUUUAUAGUAGCCCACCUUUGGUACAAUGCCAUUUUGUGUAAUUAAAAAUACAUUUAACAGUAACAUAGUCAUUGUAGAAAAUACGGAAAGUGUUGAAAAAUCAUUGAAUUACCAUCUCUUGGAGAUAGCGACUCAACAUUUUGAUGUAUUUUAUCCCAAUAUUUUUCUCUCUCUCUCUAUAUAUAAAUUAUAUAAUGGAUAGUAUAAUAAGGGUUUUAUAGCAUAAUAAAGUAUUUAAACUUGAUGUUAAAUUCUUAUAUAGGAAAGUCAGGUUCCAUAUCAAUCUCCUGUGCCUAGGAGAAUACAAGGCAUGUAGUGAACCAAUGAGAAAUAUUUAUUCAAUUAUUGAAUUGUAGUAUAUCUUGUCAUUUCCUUAACCACUCAUCUAUUGUACAUUUCCAGUUUGCUCACUAUUGUAAGUCACACAAUGGUCAAGUUCUUUGUGGCUAAGGCUUUAUCCAUCUUCCUGAUUUUUUCCCUCAUGUUGGAUGUUUUGAAG
ensembl:lncRNA